UUGUCAUUGCAAACAUGGUUCUCUGACAACAAAGCUGAAUCUGGAACGACAAGCUAGUCAUAUUUACAAAAACAAAAUAGAUAGAGUUCAUAGCAGCUUUUCCAAUCUCAGUCACUUCAUCAUAUAUCAUCGUCAUUGCCUUUCACUUGCACGAUCGAACAAUGUGAACAAUAAUAAGCGUGCUCAUGCAAUGGACUAAGCUAAAUCUGCAGGCAAACACAAAGGAGAAGACAAAGUAAUAUGGCUCUUUGAAAGCUAGACACGUAUGCAUGCAAGAGCCACUAAUCAUUGUAACCAAUAUCUUCUACCUUGACCCAAAGAAAAAGAAAAC
rnacentral:lncRNA from 1 species